rnacentral:hammerhead_ribozyme from 1 species
GUACUGUUGAGGAGUCUCAUAAUAGGACGAAAUGGCCAUCCAGUAA